CCAUAUAAUAAAAACCAACAGUCAGCCACCACUCUAGGCCCAAAAUCGUUUGACCCGGUCCACCCUUUUAAUCACCAUCAGUGAUCAAACCAAUAACAGCCACAACAAAGACCAAUUUCAGCCCAACAAAACCCAACACCAGCUUCAGCUAGCGUAUCACACAAACAACGACAAUAUAACCAACAAGUUCAAACCGCGGCCCGACCCCACCAGCUAAAUCAACGGCAACCCGACCCAGAACCAGUCAAACCGGCGUACAACCCACGAAAUCCAGCUUGUCCAACAAUGUCUCAUCUGCCAAUGUUUAAAAUUCCAAUACAUAAUUGUUUGAUUCCAGCUCAUACCGUUAUCUUCCAAGAAGAUUCCUCAUUAAAAUCACAAAAUUGCCCCCGAUUUUUCAACCCCACAGUCAAGAUUUGAGAUUUUUGGGUUUCUAUAUAUAAACCCAUUUAUUCCACUGUUCAAGAGGAUUUUUUCGGAACCAAAAAGGGGACUAAAAAUUCUCUACUCGGUUAGGGUUCGAACUUUGGUCCCCAACUUGGAGUUGUGAGAAUUUUGGUUCCAGAUUCGUGUUUUUUUGUUGUUCUCGAUUCAAGGAAAGACGUGAAGUCUCGUUGACUCGUCAUCCCGAGUUCGUUGCCCAAAAAAAGUAUAAGCUAAGAUGCUAGAGAACCAACAAGGAUGGAAGAAAAAGAGCUUAAAUCUGAAGUAAUUAAAAGACAAGUGCAGUUGUCGACAUUCAUGAUAGGUCAUCAGCCCAGUGAUAGGCUAUCACGGCCAUCGUCAGCCUCAAACGGGGAAUGAGUUCCAGCUGGUAGAAUCGACGACAUUUCUGAUAAGUCGUCACAGUCCUGAUAAGCCGUCAGAAUUUGCCGUCAACCUAAGAUAGGACUAGUGCAAAUUUGAAGAAGACCUGACGACAUUCUUGAUAAGUCGUCAAGAUCCUGAUAAGGCUUUACCAAUAGUCGUCGUCUAUUCUGAGAAAAAUUUGUAACCUUGAUUUUAUUUCCUUAUUUAGGGUGAACUAUUUAAAGCUUUGUUUUAGGAUUUUCUAGAGAUAUCCGCACAUUGAGUUUUGACAAUACUUUUGA